rnacentral:rRNA from 1 species
UACGGGGGGUGCAAGCGUUGUUCGGAAUUACUGGGCGUAAAGGGCGCGUAGGCGGCCUUCUAAGUCGGACGUGAAAUCCCUCGGCUUAACCGAGGAACUGCGUCCGAUACUGAAAGGCUUGAAUCCGGGAGAGGGAUGUGGAAUUCCAGGUGUAGCGGUGAAAUGCGUAGAUAUCUGGAGGAACACCGGUGGCGAAGGCGGAAUCCUGGACCGGUAUUGACGCUGAGGCGCGAAAGCUAGGGGAGCAAACAGG